rnacentral:rRNA from 1 species
AGAUUGAACGCUGGCGGCAUGCCUAACACAUGCAAGUCGAACGGCAGCGCGGGUAGCAAUACCUGGCGGCGAGUGGCGGACGGGUGAGGAACACAUAGGAAUCUACCCUGUCGUGGGGGAUAACGUAGGGAAACUUACGCUAAUACCGCAUACGACCGAGAGGUGAAAGCGGCGGACCGCAAGGCGUCGCGCGGCUGGAUGAGCCAAUGUCCGAUUAGCUAGUUGGCGGGGUAAGAGCCCACCAAGGCGACGAUCGGUAGCUGGUCUGAGAGGAUGAUCAGCCACACUGGACUGAGACACGGCCCAGACUCCGUACGGGAGCAGCAGUGGGAAUAGUUGG